UGCUGCACUACUUGAUGACCCAGACCCAGGGCGAGCUCGGUGGAGGCCUGACUGGCAGAAAGUAUUGGCACCCGGUCCUUUUCAAUCUGACACACAUUCAACAACCCCAGCUGGAUGCAUUAGUCUAGAAACAAGUUGGAUGCCACAAACUUGUUUGGUGCCAAUUCUUGGUGCUUUGUGAUGGUGUUACUUGCAGAUAAUUCCAACAAGAGAACAACAGUAAUGUAAUGUGAUUUUGUGUUUAAUGCUCCAAGUUUUGAAGAAAAGCUGUUUAACUUCUAAUUCCAAAUGUGACCCAUGUCAAAGUUGACCUUAACAGAUAUUAAAGUUGGCAGCGGAGGACACCACAAAUUACAUAAUCGGAUAAGAAAAAAGCGGAUAAGAUAAAAGUCUUUUAAAAUGGAUGCUGAUUUCGGAGGAUUUACUCAUGAAAUCUAAUGAAAGAAAUGUGUGCACCGGCAGUCACUAUGCAGGAUUGAAAAACUGCUGUCCUGUCAUGUCCGGAUCAUCUGCAAACUAAGAUAGUGACAUCAUGGAAGAUUUGGAAACACCUGGAGACUUCACUGCUGGUGUGAACAGCGGUGUGGGAGUGGUUGGAAGCUUUAGAAACACCAAGGCAUAUAAUAAGGAAUAUGAUUCAUUUUUCACUGUCAUUACAGAUGUGUGUGAACAAGAACUUACUCCCCCCCACACAAUUAGCUCAUUGUAUUAUUUACUAUUGUUUGAGCUCAGAUAUUUAAAUUCAGGCUGCAACUAAUGACUAUUUUCAUUAUCAAUUAAUGUGCUAAUCAACCUGGUGGUGUUCAAGAGGUCAGAAAACUCUGUUGGUGACAUCUUCAAAUGUUUUGUCUGAGGGACAGCCCAAUAAUGUAUUCAACUUAUAAUCGAAUUAACAUAAAAAUUUAAAGUUUAUAAAAAGUACUUAAAUGAUUAAUCGAUUAUAAUAAUAGCUGCCGACUCAUUUUCUGUCUCAGCUCUAUUUGAGUUUAGAUUUAUGAGUUAGCUGGAACAAUAAAUGCGUUGUUGUUAUUUGGCCAACAACGUCCAUAAAAUUUUAUGAGAGAUUACCACGCUGAUACAGAUUCUAUAACCUCCAAAUUUCUUUCUAUUAAUAGAAAGAUAUUCUCUACAUUAGCAAAAAUCCAUGGUUCUCUCUUCACCUGCGGACACGCGUAUACACGCACGCGCAAACUUGGACACCACUAAUGACACUGUGGGACUGUAUUGACAAGUGACGUCAAGUUGAAUGAUCGAUAAUGGGGCCAAAAACGUCCUUAUGCAUUGGCAGAACGAGCUCUAUGACACGACGGACUGCAAAAACAACCUGUUUAACGUAAAAAGGCGAACUUUUAGGGGGCUGGAGAGGUCCGUGACAACAGCAGCAGGCACAGUGGCCAGUUUGAGGAGGCAUGCGGAAAUGAAUUCCAAAUCCAAGGGUGGAUUUGCACCAAGGCACACGCUGAUAUGAUAUCCCUGCUUUACAAUACUGGCCUGUUUGGCUCUCUCUGGUCCUCCGCUUCUCACCCCACAGGAAAUGGCCCUAUUGUCCUUGGAAGAGGAAGUGGCUUGGAGCAGACCAGUAGCUCACUGGAUUGAUUAAGACUGUGGUAAAUUAUUAAUCAUCAGUUCCAAAUGGAAGACACACAGACAGUGUAGUGUUGGCUGUCCGCUGAGGAAUGUUUUGGAAAACAAUGGACAAGUAGAGCUGCCGUUGACCACCUGUGGAAGAGAGAGAUACUCUGGCACUUCGAGCGUACAGACAUGUCUUAGAGGCUAUAGCAUUUACUAUGGGUGGGAGACUUUCAUGAGUGUAAAACUGAGCAUAACAGAAAAUAAAAUACAACUAAUAAAGGUGUUUUAAUUUUACCAGACUCAAUCCAAGAGUCACAGGGUUUUCCAAACUGAA